AUUCCAGCUCCAAGAGCGUAUAUUAAAGUUGUUGCAGUUAAAAAGCUCGUAGUUGGAUUUCUGGUACAACGCGCCUGGCCCGCAUUUGUGAGUGCCGGCGCGCGUUUGCCAUCCUUCUAGAAAACGUUUCUACCUGGGCAACUGGGCCGGACUCGCGAUCUAGAUCUUUUACUUUGAAAAAAUUAGAGUGUUUAAAGCAGGCUUUUGCUGUGAAUACAUUAGCAUGGAAUAAUAAUCUAGGACUUCGGUUCUAUUUUGUUGGUUUCUAGUACUGAAGUAAUGAUUGAUAGGGAUAGUUGGGGGUGCUAGUAUUGGCCGGCCAGAGGUGAAAUUCUUGGAUUCGGUCAAGACUAACUUAUGCGAAAGCAUUCACCAAGGAUGUCUUCAUUA
rnacentral:rRNA from 1 species